GAUGAGCGCUGGCGGCGUGCCUAAUACAUGCAAGUCGAGCGAACAGACGAGGAGCUUGCUCCUCUGACGUUAGCGGCGGACGGGUGAGUAACACGUGGAUAACCUACCUAUAAGACUGGGAUAACUUCGGGAAACCGGAGCUAAUACCGGAUAAUAUAUUGAACCGCAUGGUUCAAUAGUGAAAGACGGUUUUGCUGUCACUUAUAGAUGGAUCCGCGCCGCAUUAGCUAGUUGGUAAGGUAACGGCUUACCAAGGCAACGAUGCGUAGCCGACCUGAGAGGGGGAUCGGCCACACUGGAACUGAGACACGGUCCAGACUCCUACGGGAGGCAGCAGUAGGGAAUCUUCCGCAAUGGGCGAAAGCCUGACGGAGCAACGCCGCGUGAGUGAUGAAGGUCUUCGGAUCGUAAAACUCUGUUAUUAGGGAAGAACAAAUGUGUAAGUAACUAUGCACGUCUUGACGGUACCUAAUCAGAAAGCCACGGCUAACUACGUG
rnacentral:rRNA from 1 species